ACCCCGAUCCCAAGCACCAAGGAGCCGACGAUUUGGAUCAAAACCUACAUCCCAAGCACCAAGGUGCCUGGUUGAUAUGGUUCACGAUCCCGAUCUGGAGCUCCAGGGCGCCGAGGAUUUCGAUCAAGAUCCCGAUCUGAAGCCCCGAGUAGCCGAGGAUAUGGAUCAAGACCCCGGUCCGAAGCGACAAGGAGGCAAGGAUUUGGAUCACCACUCCGAUCAAAGGCACCAAGGCGUCAAGGGAUUGGAUCGAGAUCCCGGUCCCAAUCAUGAAGUAGGCUAUGUUAUUUCCUGUUUUCCACACCGUUCAGGGCAUUUUGGUGGUCGUAUCGGCUUUUUGUUGCUUGCUUGGCGUUAGUGCCAAGGGAGUGGCUGGAAGCUAGGUCGUUCUCUGGAAUGCUUGUUGUAAAGGUGUAUGAGUUGUGUUUGGCUUGUUACGGGUGUUUGUUGGCUGCUUGUGCAGGAACUUUCAUGCGUCCAAGCCUCUUCAGUUGUGCUACAAGGCCUUGUUUGUCUUGUGCAUACGGUGGGUUUCCUGUGUUGCAUACCUAAUCAAGGGCAUCGUAUGGCUUGAUCGAAGUAAAUAUUCGUAAUGCGCUGCUUGCGGCGUUGAACGAACCUCGAAGUGGUCUCUGUGGCCCAUGUUGUCCUUGCUCAUGCAUGGAUGGCAUGGCCCUCGGAGCGUCGCUUGGUCUCUUGGAUACGGAACCUGAUGAUGUGGGCGGUAGGGUCUUUGAUGAUUCUACCUUCGC
rnacentral:misc_RNA from 1 species